CAUUGCUCUGUUGAUGAUCUUUUCAUGCUGGUAUUCUUGGUAUUGCUCUUCUCAUGCUUCAUGCCAUGCCAAGCUUUACUUUCCAGGUAUGGGGAGCAGUCCAACAAACAUGCUGAUUCAUGUUCAGGCCGUACAUCACCUGAAGGUUAGAAAAACGUGGAGAAGCAGCGACAGAGGUGACGAAGCACGCCCCUCUUCCUCUGCUUCAUCCUGCAGUCCCAGUGAUAGUGCCGCAUCCUGGUUCCAAAUACCACAGGACACCCUUAGAGGUUUUCAAGGUGGAACACAAAAGACGGGCACUCGCCAUCUUCACCGCCUGUUGAACUCAAGAGCAGCGAUGAAUAACAGCACAAAAUGAGUACACACCCUUCUAGGAGAUCUGAUCUCGUCGGUGGCACCUGACGUCUUAUGUAAAAAGUUGAAGAAGGUGAGCGUAAAACAGAUUUCAUCUGGAAUGUUCUUAAUGUGACUUGCAUUUCCGGCUAGAGAUAAUAAUUUUUAUUACAAAACGCAACACAAAUGCACUUGUAGUUUACUUGUAGGAUGAACAAACUGGCAAUGGACAUGUGAGUGGACUCCCGUGACUUUUUGUUUAAAGAUCAACAGACAACUCUCUCACUUCCUUAUCGAGCAUCCUGUCAACUUGCAGGGAGAGGUGGACUAACUAAACCAACUGCCCGAAUGACCAAACUAAAUGCACCAUGUACACUAAAAUGAUAGUGUAUAGAAACUAGGGAUGUCAAAGUUCAUUCGUUAAAAAAAAAAUUGCAUGUAUGUAUGUAGAAAUUAAUCGUGCACUCAAUCGUGCAGAUUGUUACCUAAAAGGCAGAGCAGGUUGCUAUACGAUCAGUGAUCAGGUCAAUGUAUA